rnacentral:rRNA from 1 species
UACGUAGGGGUCGAGCGUUGUCCGGAGUUACUGGGCGUAAAGCGCAUGCAGGCGGCUCAUUACGCAUGGCGUGAAAGCCCCCGGCUUAACCGGGGAGGGUCGUCGUGAACGGGUGAGCUUGAGGAUAUCAGGGGCUGGUGGAAUUCCCGGUGGAGUGGUGAAAUGCGUAGAUAUCGGGAGGAACACCUGUGGCGAAGGCGGCCAGCUGGGAUAUACCUGACGCUGAGAUGCGAAGGCGUGGGGAGCGAACGGG